UCUCGACCAAAAAAAAAUCCACGCGGCCUGUGCCUCGCCGGCGUCUCCUCUCACUGGCCCGCCGCCUAUGUGUCUGCCCACGAGGCCUGCGCCUCGCCCACGCCGCCCUCAGGGGCGGAGGAACGGCCUCCGCGCCCGGCGUGCGGGCCAGCCGCCGUGCGGCGCAGGCAGCUGCCCUCAGGGGCGGGGGAACGGCCUCCGCGCCCGGCGUGCGGGACGGCCGCCGUGCGGCGCGGGCGGCUCAAGGGGCUACGCCCAGGACGUGCGGCACGAGCAGCGGAAGGGGCUACGCGGCCGCCGUGCGCCGCGACUUGCGCAGUCGCCAUGCGCCGCGGCACACGGACGGCAGGGGCGGGUGAAGGGGCUCCGGCGUGCGGCGCCCCCUCCACGGCCGGCGUGCCGCGCGGCGUCGGCCCACGGCUCGAUAACCGGCCACCGACGGCGUCGCGGACAGGGAAGGGGCUCCGCACCCUCCAACGAUUGGACGACUUGCUCCAGAUUGGGCGGGGGGCGCGGCUGGCCGCGGGGCAAGCGCAGCUCGGGGCAGCGGCGAGCGCACGCGAGCCGAAUCCGCGGCGACUCGCACCACCCGGCCGGUUUCAGCGCCGUCCCCAACGUCCCACUCCUCACCAACGGCCAGAUGGUCGACAACAUCCUGGCGGAGCAGCAUGCGCUCAUGCCGUCCUACAUGGGCGGCUGCGGCGGCGGAGGCAAGAGGAUCCAUCCACUCCCCUUCGCAGAUCCAAGCCUUCCAGUGCAACCGAGAUCCAUGGACCCGUGGAGCGUGGCUUAGGGCGACCUGGAUGGAGUGCUGGAAGAAGAACCAGGUGCGCCAGCAGCACGACAGGAGCGAGGGCGGCUGUGAUUAGGACGGCGACGAUGGUCGAUGCUGAUCUGGCGCUGUCUCACCUAAAGUAAUAGGCCUCCUCUCCCGUCUGACUGGAGCAUGCUGAGGACAAUGGCCUCUCCCUCAAGACCACUUGCUCCUUUGCAAAUGACGCCGAGGCGGAAAAUAUGUGUCACUCCUGUAUGUUGAUCUGACGAUGAGUCACUUUGGUAACAGCAGCCUGGUGAGAUGAACUAAUAUCAACGCCCCGUUCGGCGGGGUGGGAACGAACCCCAGCCGCAGCUGGUUCUUGCAUGUUGUGGCUGGUCUGGAUCGGUGGAUAAGCAGGUUCGGUGGACCAGCACAGGCCAGAUUUUUUCAAUUCAACAUGAAGUGGGGAUGGGUUAUCAUUUUCAAAUGGCACUAUCAGGGCUGGAAGUACAUUGGUGUUGGUCAGCUCUCCAUCGCAAGAAAAAACAUGCAGAGGGCUUUGUAACCAUGAAUUGUUGAGAAUCAGAGGUUGGCUUCAAUCUUCGACUUCCUCCAACUGAGAGCAUGGGAUUGCAUUAGCCUAUCAUGUCCUGAACUCCUAAUACCAAUUUUCAAGCUCUGAUUAGCUUCCAAAAAGUAGGGGAAACGACAGCCUUGAGCCUGUCCUUCUGAGAUGGUUUAUGUUUUUUGUCUAGCAUUUCUUAAGAUGAUACAUCAAAAUUAUAUGUAUGACAUGGUUUGAUGACAGUUCAUUUUGGAUUAUGCA